GACGAACGCUGGCGGCGUGCCUAAUACAUGCAAGUUGAGCGCUGAAGGUUGGUACUUGUUCCAACUGGAUGAGCAGCGAACGGGUGAGUAACGCGUGGGGAAUCUGCCUUUGAGCGGGGGACAACAUUUGGAAACGAAUGCUAAUACCGCAUAAAAACUUUAAACACAAGUUUUAAGUUUGAAAGAUGCAAUUGCAUCACUCAAAGAUGAUCCCGCGUUGUAUUAGCUAGUUGGUGAGGUAAAGGCUCACCAAGGCGAUGAUACAUAGCCGACCCGAGAGGGUGAUCGGCCACAUUGGGACUGGGACACGGCCCAAACUCCUACGGGAGGCAGCAGUAGGGAAUCUUCGGCAAUGGACGAAAGUCUGACCGAGCAACGCCGCGUGAGUAAAGAAGGGUUUCGGAUCGUAAAACUCUGUUGGUAGAGAAGAAAGUUGGUGAGAGUGGAAAGCUCAUCAAGUGACGGUAACUACCCAGAAGGGGACGGCUAACUACGUG
rnacentral:rRNA from 1 species